AUUCUUCCUCCAAGUCCCGCAAGCCACUUGCUCUCAAAUACCCCAAUUUCCAGUCCCCGCCCACCCCAAUCUCCAACUUCUCUCCUCCUCAAAACCCUAGAUGCCAAUUUAGAAAUAAUUCACCCAUUUCUGAUCCUUAUCGCAGGCCUCACAAGAUUGCCAGAUCUUGCGCUUCCGAGGUCAGCGAAUGCACUGGCCCGCUGGAAAUAGUCAGGACGCCUAUUGCCAAUACGGUGCUGUAUUCAUCUCCCGAGGCUUACUUAUCACCGCA
rnacentral:misc_RNA from 1 species